UCUCCUGGAAACGGGUGGUAAUGCCGGAUGUUCCAGUUGAUCGCAUGGUCUUCUGGGAAAGCUUUCGCGGUAUGGGAUGGGGUCGCGUCCUAUCAGCUUGACGGCGGGGUAACGGCCCACCGUGGCUUCGACGGGUAGCCGGCCUGAGAGGGCGACCGGCCACAUUGGGACUGAGAUACGGCCCAGACUCCUACGGGAGGCAGCAGUGGGGAAUAUUGCACAAUGGGCGCAAGCCUGAUGCAGCGACGCCGCGUGAGGGAUGGAGGCCUUCGGGUUGUAAACCUCUUUUAUCGGGGAGCAAGCGUGAGUGAGUUUACCCGUUGAAUAAGCACCGGCUAACUACGUGCCAGCAGCCGCGGUAAUACGUAGGGUGCAAGCGUUAUCCGGAAUUAUUGGGCGUAAAGGGCUCGUAGGCGGUUCGUCGCGUCCGGUGUGAAAGUCCAUCGCUUAACGGUGGAUCCGCGCCGGGUACGGGCGGGCUUGAGUGCGGUAGGGGAGACUGGAAUUCCCGGUGUAACGGUGGAAUGUGUAGAUAUCGGAAAGAACACCA
rnacentral:rRNA from 2 species